UGUGAUGUGUACAGCUUUGGAGUUGUGGCGCUUGAAACUUUGAUGGGAAGGCAUCCGGGAGAUAUCCUAUCAUCAUCUGCUCAGGCUAUUACACUGAAAGAAGUGUUAGAUCCUCGUUUGCCACCUCCAACAAAUGAGAUUGUCGUACAAAAUAUAUGUACCAUUGCAAGUCUUAUAUUUUCUUGCUUACAUUCAAAUCCAAAAAAUCGACCUUCGAUGAAAUUUGUGUCUCAAGAAUUUCUAUCUCCCAAGAGAUUAUUGGGAGGUCUCGAGAUUUCUUUGUUGGAGCUUCGAAAUCUUGGCUGGCACACAAAUGUAGGUGAGAUCAUAGUUCCUCGCUGAAAAAGUCAACUUCGAGCUCACAUGGAACUUCAACGAGAGCGCCUCCAAGAGUAUGUGUUUAUAGAAUUUCUUAAUUUUGGAUGAACUUUUUUUCUUUUGUUUUGUUUUAGCACACUACACGACUUUGUAAUAUUUUAGUGUGACAUUGUAUGUAAUUCUAAUAAUGCACACUUUUCUUGUGCAUGAUAACUAGUAUCAAUAUAUAUGAGCAUCAUAUUAAGUCUACCUCUCUAUACGUCGAGGUUAAAUUGAAAUCAUCACUCAUCUUAUAAUUAGGCAAAUCCACACUUGAAAUAUGCAGAAGAUAUUUGUUAACUACAUUAAUUUGUCCCUGCAAGCUCUUGUAUAAUAGAUGCCUGAAAGUAGUGAUUGGAUCUACUCUCUACAGUCUGUUCUGACUCCUAUAACUAUCUGAGCAACAUGUUUUGUUUCCCCCCCCCUGAAUGAUGCACCUUAUUAUUUAUCAUUUGGCACAGAUUGAAUUUUCAAUCAUCUUCCACUCCAAAUGAAGAUUUACGUCUCAUGUUAGGGACCAAGCUUUGACCUCAAGGAUAGUGAGUCGAGAUGUCCACCCUCCAUAUACUAGAUAGACAUGCCCCAACAUCGGCCACCAUGUCUAUCUAGUAAAAUGUACAAGAUCCCUAGCUAUAGAUUAUUUUCAAUCUCAGAGACAUUUACUAACAGAGAAAAUAUAUCAUAGUAUCCGAUUAUGAGUGUCGCACGUGUGCAGCGUCGCGGCGAAAAUAACAUAGUUGUUUGUUUUCAUUUUCUUAAUCUACAAUGUAAAUCUAUCUAUAUCUAUGGGGAUACAAGAAAAUACUGUCUUUUAUUGGUAGAAAAUGGAAUGGGAGUCGCCACCUAGUAUUUUGGUCACUAGGAACCCUAACUGGUCUCAGAGAUCGGGUACGGGGACUGGUUGCGUAAAGAAAAGGUAUUAGCACCCCAAAUACGCCCUAUCUAAGGUAAGCUGCAUUGUUUUAUUGUCUGAUAAAAUCUAAGGUCUUUUCGUGUUUUCCUAGUUGCUUGUAUGGUUUAAGAAAAGUCCUCCCCUGUAAGGAGAUCCUUAUCUUAAAGGGUAAUCCUAACCGUUCUAACUUCUAUACCAAAACUUUAUUAAUAGUAUUUAGGAAUACGUUUUACAUAUAAAUUCGUAAUCCCAAAUACUACAAGAAAACAAAAAGAUUUUUUUAGAAUUUUUGAAAUAUUGGCCUAAUUCUCAUGGCUUGAAUAAACUGGUUAUUAAAGCCAAAAUGCAUGCUAAUACAUAUAUUGUUUUGAGAAUUUUCUUUGUUGUGUGAAAAUAUGAUGUUAUAAUAUUUAUAUAUAUAUAUUGGAGAGACUAGGCCGUAUUUUAAAACAAAAACAAUUUUUUUUGAAUUUUUUUUUUAUGCUUUGACGAAAAUUGGGUAUUUUAAUAAUGAGUUUGUAUCCUUACGGUAUAAAAAUACUAACCAACAUUAAUCCACCUUAAUAAAAAAUAUGCAGGAAAAAUCAACAAUAUUUUUAAAGAACUUUUGGAAUUUUUUGAAAGUAAAAACAUUUUUUAUUUUGAAAAUCUUUGAUGUUUUGACGAAAACCGGGUAUUUUAAUACUGGAUUUAUAUCUUUACGGUAUAAAAAUACAAACCAACAUUAAGCCAUUUUGACAAAAAUAUGCAGGAAAAUCAAUAAUAUUUUUCAAGAUUUUUUAGAAUAUAUUUUUUAAAAUAUACAUACAUAUAUAAUAUAAUAUAAUAUAUAAUAGUAUAUAAUAUAAUAUAUUAUGUGGGCCGGCCCGGCCCAACCGAAUGGGCCAGACUCAGCCCAGCAGGAAUGGGGCCGAUUUCGGCCCAGAAUGGAUUGGGCCGAUCUCGGCCCAAUAAAAAACUCAUAUCUAGGCCGGACUUGGCCCAUAUAGCUGGGAUGGGCCAGACCUGGUCUAGCCCAUCAAACACAGGGAUGGGCCAGACCCAGUCUGGCCCAAAAAAAUGCUGGGCCAGGAUCCGCCUGGCCCAGCUACGCAUCGUCAGGGGGGAAAUUAUUUCCCCCCUCCUCCUGCAUGCAGAACGUUCGUUCUGCAUGCAGGGAAACAAAUUAAAAUGCCAACAGCUAGGGGGGAGAAGAAGUUACCUGGCGUGGAAGAGGCGGUCGCGGGUGGUGCUGCGGUGGAGGCCGGUGGUCGUCGUGGCUCACGGACGGCGGCUCCCAGCGGCGGUGCUGCUGCUCAAACGGCGAAAAAAAGAUUUUCUUCCUCUUCCCCUCUUCUUUUUUUCGUUUUCGGUAUUUCUUUCUUUUCCUUCCUUUCUCUUUGUUUUCUGUUUUCUUUUCUUUUGUUUUCGAUUUAUUCUUUCCUCUUUUCUCUCUCUCUUCGGUCUCCUCUCUCUCUCCUCCCUUCGGUCCGUUUUUUUUCCUUUUCUUUUUGUUCUCUCUUUAUAGGUGAGAAAAGGCGUUGGGACCGUUAUUAGUGCGCCUGGGGAGCGGGUUUCGCGGCGGCUGGUCGGCCGCCACCCGCGACAGCAAGGCACCGUUCCUUUACUUUCGGCCGGUGGUCGGCCAAUGACUUCGGUCGGUGGUCCCACGGUGUGGGGCUUCGGGCUGUUCGGUGGAGAUGCAGAGGAGAGAGGGGUGGGAAGAUUUUCAAAAACAAAGUUUUCUUCCUUCUGUUGCAGGUUCGGGGGGAGGGGAAGAAGAAAGGGGAACAGUGUCGUUCAAAACGGCACCGUUCAGUCUUUUUUUUUUUUUUUUUUAUGUAUGAAACAACGUCGUUUUGGAGAAAACGCGCCGUUUCAUUUAAAAAUGGCCCUAGAACGCGCCAAAUUUCCAACUUAGGCCUCAAUCAUCUUUGUUCAUUUCAAUUGCGUCCCUGCCAAUUUCGAUCCCCGCCCCCAUAGUUGGCCGCGAUUUUCACUUUGGUCCUUGGCCUCUGAUUUAUGCAAUUAAGCCCUCAAUUGAUCAAUAAGCUUCCAAUUUCUUCAAUUAGGCCCCUGAAUCAAUUCAAAACAGCCCCCCCUCUAUUUACCCGCUUUUUCCAAAUUGGUCUCUGGUUUCGAAUUUUCACAAUUAAACCCCUAAUUGGCCAUUAAACUUCAAUAUUUAUGCAAUUAAGCCCCUGAUUUGACCCAAUAAAUUCCUAAAAAAUAUAUUUUGGCCCCAGAACUUAAAUUUCUUCUAAUUAAAGCCCAAAUUGACUUAAAAAUCGAUUUUUCUUGCAAUCAAAUCCUCUAUAAAUUCAAAUAAAAAUCCAAUUAAGUCCAUAAACAUCCAAAUUUGAACUUUUCUCCUCAAACUUCCAAUUUUCUUAUCCAAUAGGGCUCUCAUCAUUCAAGAAUAUAUUGUCAAAAAUCCAUCUUUGUAUUUUUAAUCUCCUUGACCGAUUUUUCUGACCAUUUGCUGAGCGCUUCUGCCUCCUGAUAUUUUUCUAACCUCCUUUGGCUAUUUAUUUUAUUUCAUUUAUUUGGGGACCCGAAAAUGGGUUACAACAAUGAGCACAUGAUUUCUUCGUAUCAGCAUCUGAUUUAUAAAAUAUUGAAACCAAUUUUUAAAGUUGAAAUUCUUUACCUUUGUCGCACCCCCACAAAAAAACAAAUUUCAAUUUGCGAUUUUACGGGUUCGACUGGCGAAUUUUUAUUUUUUGGUUUGAUUUGGUUCUUUGGAGUCGCCACCUAGUAUUUUGAUCACUAGGAACCUUAACUGGUCUCAGAGAUCAGGUACGGAGACUGGUUGCGUAAAGGGAAGGUAUUAGCACCCCAAAUACGCCUUACCUGAGGUAAACUGCAUUGUUUUAUUGUCUGAUAAAAAAAAAACUAAAGUGUUAUUAUGUUUUUCUAGUUGUUGGUCUGUCUAUGGUUCAAGAAAAAUCCCCCUCGGUAAGGAGGUCUUUAUCUUAUCGGGUAAAAAUCCUAACCGUUCUAACGUCCAUACCAAAAUUUUAUUAAUAAUAUUUAGGAAUACGUUUUACGUAUAAAUUCGUAAUCCCAAAUAUUAAAAGAAAACAAAAAGAUUUUUUUUAGAAUUUUUGAAAUAUUGGCCUAGUUCUCAUGGCUUGAAUAAACUGGUUAUUAAAGCCAAAAUGCAUGUUAAUACAUAUAUUGUUUUUUGAAAAUUUUCUUUGUUGUGUGAAAAUAUGAUGUUAUAAUAUUUAUGUAUAUAUAUUGGAGAGACUAGGCCGUAUUUUAAAACAAAAACAAUUUUUGGAAAAUAUUAUUUUUUUUAUGCUUUGACGAAAAUCGGGUAUUUUAAUACUGAGCUUGUAUCCUUACGGUAUAAAAAUACAACCCAAUAUUAAUCCAUUUUGAUAAAAAUAUGCAGAAAAAUCAACAACAUUUUUAGGGACUUUGUAGAAUUUUUUGAAAGCAAAACAUUUUUUAUUCUGAAAAUCUUUGAUAUUUUGACGAAAACCGUGUAUUUUAAUACCAGAUUUGUAUCUUUACAAUAUAAAAAUACAAACUGAUAUUGACCAAAAUACAGUAAUAAAAUUACAGAAAAAUCACAAAUUCUUUGAAAUAUCUUUUUUUGAAAAUUUUUUAUUUUUUUUUAUAUAUAUAUAUAUAUUUUUUUGGGUGAGGCCCACGUGGCUGGGCUGCACCCAGCAAGCCUCAUGUGAACAGUGAAUCAUGUCUUAUGUGAACAGUGAAUAGCAUUUCACUGUUCAAUUGAAUUAUAUUUGAUGUGAACAGUGAAUUAACAUUUCACUUGAACAGUAAAAUGCAAGGAAAUGGUGCAUGCACAGCGACGAAAGGGGGUGCAAACCUGGUGGCAGAAACGAUGCCGAAGUCGAUGGCUAACACUCCCAGUGAUGCUGGUGGCGGUGGACAGGAAGCCAAUGGGGGUUCACGGUGGUUCUGACGGUGGCAGUGGUUGGGAAGCUCGAUGACAGCAGCUGCCUUCUCUUCUUCUUCCCCUUUACAGAGGCGUUUCUUCUUCUCUUGGUUUCUUUCAGUCAGCAAUGUUCUUCCCUCUCUAUGGCAGCUUUGUGAAGGCGCUGGUAGUGGUGGCCGGGGAGUGACUGGGACGGUGGUCGGUGACUGUGGAGUGUGGUGUUCAGCCUUUCUCCCUUUUCUUCUCUGCGUUCCUCUUCAGCUGUCUCCUCCUCUGUGUGCUGGGUUGGGCGCUAUUUAUAGAGCCAGUGGGCGUGGCUUCACCGUGGAGCCAAGGAGCGGGUCGGGGAGCGGCUCAUGUGAACAGUGAAUAGUAUUUCACUGUUCACGUGAAUUAUAUUUGAUAUGCACAGUGAUCUUAGCAUUUCACUGUUCACGUGAAUUAUAUUUGAUAUGCACAGUGGACUAGCAUUUCACUGUUCACGUGAAUUAUAUUUCACUUGAACAGUGAAAUGCAAGGAAAUGGUGUAUGCAGAACGACUUCCAAUUUUAAGAAUAAAAUUCAAUUGCGUCCCUGCCAAAUUCGAUCCCUACCCCUAUAGUUGGCCGCGUUUUUCAUUUUGGUCCUUGGCCUCUGAUUUUCACAAUUAAACCCCUAAUUGAUCAAUAAGCUUCCAAUUUCUUCAAUUAAACCCCUGAAUCAAUUCCAAACAGCCCCCUUUAUCUUUGCGCCUUCUCCAAAUUGGUCCCUGGUUUCGGAUUUUCACAAUUAAGUCCCUAAUUGGCCAUUAAACUUCAAUAUUUAUGCAAUUAAACCCCUGAUUUGACCCAAUAAAUUCCUAAAAAAUAUAUUUUGGCCCCAAAACUUAAAUUUCUUCUAAUUAAAGCACAAAUUGACUUAAAAAUCAAUUUUUCUUGCAAUCAAAUCUUCUAUAAAUUCAAAUAAAAAUUCAAUUAAGUCCAUAAACAUCCAAAUUUGGGCUUUUCUCCUCAAAAUUCAAAUUUUCCUUCUCAAUAGGGCUUUCAUCCUUCAAGAAUAUACUGUCAAAAAUUCAAUCCUUGUAUUUUUAAAUUCCUUGACCAAUUUAUCUAACUGUUUUCUGAGCGCUUCUGCCUCCUGUUAUUUUCUAACCUCUUUUGGCUAUUUAUUUUAUUUUUCAUGGGGACCCAAAAAUGGGUUACAACAACCUUGUUAUCACAUUGAUCAUCCCAUUAAUUUCCCCUUCAUGAUAUCCUUAAAUAAGAAAAAGCUUAGGGUAUGUGCAACUGUCCUGAAGCUCUUAGACAAUCCAGGAGAAAAAAUUUAUUUGGCACAUCAUAUAUUUCCUUGGACGGUCGUUCAUAAAUCGUAUAUGCUAAAUGUUUUACAUACUCUAAUUAUAACAAAUGAUUAUGUAUGACAGUUCACAUUCUCCUGCAUGAAAGCUCUAUGUACCCAUUAUCUUGGUGACAAUUGACAAGUCGCCGAUGCAAUUCUGCAAUUAUAUUAGAAUGCAAGGAUGAUAUAUUUAUUUAGGAUUUUAUAAAUUAUCCCAUGGCUGUGUAUAUUCAAUAAUUUUGUUUAAUGAUUACAGCCCCACAUCAGUUUCUUGUUCGAGGCUUUUCGGGCCUUCAAUUGAACCUAAACAAAAACAAACUAUUCCAACAUGAACACGAAACAAAGCCGAAGAAGCUAUGGGCUUAAUUAAGCCUUUUUAUACGAGCAAGACGAAUCAGCACGAGAUUUCAAAUUCCUGCAAGAAUUACUAGAACCCACAAACGUGGCAACUCAAGGGCCUCAUCAUCCAAAACCAAAAUGCAAGUACUCCCCUAAAAGAUAAGAUUGUAGGGUUGUACAGGUCUCCUUCUGCAAUUACUUGUCAAGUCCUCCAACUAUUGCCUAAUUCUUAAUCAAGUCCCUCAAUCCAAAUUGGAUAUCCAUCACACAUUAUCCAAUUCACCCGUCACCAUAAAAAAAAUUAAAAAUUGAAAUAACUAAUUUGUUUAAGAUGGAUGGUUCUAUGGUUCUGAUUUACAAAUCUUGAGAUCAAACUUAGAAUCCCAUGAAAGUCUUUGGUUUAGAAUAAAUAAAUCAUCUCUUUUUAGAUUAAAAGUUACUUCUAACACGAUAAUAAAAAAUAGUUAAGUCUAGUUUUAUGAUUUUAAAGAAAAACAUUUAAAAUCAAAAGUCAGUUUAAAAAAGAUCACGAGUAAUUCAUUCUAAAUAUUUACAGUAAACGGAGCCAGAAUUUCAAGAGCCUUUGAUUAUUAAAAUUAACACCUCACUUAAAAUCCAAACAAAUUUAGAAACGCGAGAAAGUCGUUCAGAUAAGGCUGAAAAAAGAAAAAAGAAACCAACGAUUUUUCAAUCUUCCCGCUUAUUGCUUAAUCAAGCAGAGAUGGUGGUUGCUUAGAUUUUCUCCUUCAAUUAUAGUUUAUCGUUCAGUUUCAACCAUAAACAGGCAAGACUCCCACGAAUCCAGGCUGUUUUCGGACACCAAUUAAGAAAUCUGAGAUAUCUCUUCACAUUGCCCUCAAUUAUUUGGUUGUGUCAUCUAGCAGGGCUCUUCUGAGAACGAUAGAGAUUUCUUUGGAUCUGAUGAUUUUGGUCUGAAGCCAAUCAGAACGGAAUCCACAUCAACAACGAAUACUUUCCAGAAAAAGAGUAUAUUUUUUGAAGAAUCUGUUGCAGGUUCCCCAAUGUCAAGAUUUGGCAACUCUCCAAGGUUCAGCGAAGCAGGGGACCAUUUUGACAAUUACUCGAGAUUUGAUUCCUUCAGCAUGAAUGAAGGAGGCUUUUCACCACGAGAAAAGCUUACAAGGUUCGACUCCAUAAACAGCUCCAAAGAUUUUGGCCACAGCCGUGCAUUCUCUUCAUUUGGGUUUUGCAUGUCGGAUUUGGCCCCGAUUUGAUGAUUUUUUGGGUGAAUCUAUUUUAUCUAUAACGUAGUAAGUAAAUAGCUAUUCCCGGAAUAAUAAAGGAAUGUUGAAGUUGAUUCGGCUUUUCCCGGGGAAAAGAUAAAAAGAUCAUUCCUUCUGUAUUUUGGAAUGCUAGAUAUAGGUACGGUGCUCGUAUUGUUUGUUUUCUUCACUAGAGUUUACUGCCCAACAUAAUUCCUGCUUCUUUAUUUUAUUUUCCCCGAAGAAGUUUAUAUAUGGGCAUGGUGCUCAUCAAAUGCAAUAGAUUUUGGAAAUGUAAACAAAAGUAUUUUCUGACAUUACGAGAGGGCUACGGUGCUUGUGCUGGAGUUUACUGCCCCACCUAUCAAAUUGCAGUGGUCAUAUGCAAAGAAAAGUCACUAAAAAGAGCAUCAUCAAUAUUCCAAGAAAGAUGGUCCUUCCAUAAUCAUCGAGUUAAUGGACCACAUACCGACACUGACAUUAAUUGUGUUUUCUUGUAGAAACAGAAAUGGGCCUUCUUCUUAUUACCAUAGGCAUGCUAAUGUGGCUGAUAUUUUUCCAGGACAUUAAACCAUGUCUGGUUGCUCUCCCAAUACUGACAAUCUUGACUCAAACUACUUCAAGGAAAGUUUGCCCAUUGCAUGCUCUUGGAAGCAGCCGGAUUAUCUACUCUAUUUAUGAAACAAAGGGAAUACAAGACGUGGAAUGAGUCCAUGAAAAAGCCAUGGACGUAAAGGUUUCAAAUUGCACAUCAUAGUAGGAACCGAACCAUGGACAUUAUUUGAACUGAGAUCUAAUGUUUUCAAAUUUUCCAUGUUCCUAUUUCAUAAAGGAUGGAUCCGUUGAUUUUAUUGAAAGAAAGGUCAAUAUAUCUCAAACUGGUUAAACUGUCUACUCUGGAAUGAAUGGAACCACUGAUAAUGUUUGAAUCGGGAUCUAUGGCUUCCAAAUUUGCCAAGUUUCAUAUUUUCAAAUGGAUGUAUCCGUUGAUUUGAUUGGAAUAAGGCUUUAGAUAUCUCAAAAUGGUUAUACUAAGGUUGUUAAUUUUAUUUUGUUCUAUCCGGAAUGACCGGUAUUCUUGUUCCAGUUAAAAAAACAAAAUAAACCGAAAUAAAUUUCAUGUCAAUCAGAAUCUUGGCCUGUUCUUGAAAUAAAUCGGCCUGUUUUAUUUGGUGUUAUCCUGGUCUCAGUAUCUGGAUCAUAAAUUAGAAAUAUUAACCUGAGUCGAUCUAAUAUGUUCUCGUCUUAAUAUUUUUUAAGAAAAAAUAUACAGUCUUGAAUUUUUUUUAGUCAAACGAUAUUUUUAUCAAUCGUCCAUAUUGUCUUCAAACCUAUUUAGUUGAUCGGGUCAUAUUCAUUCAACUCUUAUUUUUUUUACUUGUGUUUAAAAUUUAAAAAACAUAAUUUCAAGUUAGUUUUUUAAAUUGUCUAAUGAAAAAGGAAUCGAACAAGUGAUGUAGAGAAAGUCCAUACAAAUUCUUCGAAUUCCCAAUUUCUGAAGGGAUCGAACCUGUAAUCUUGAAAGACUGAUGUAGUUGUGGUGUAGAGAGAGUCCAAAACCGGUGUUUAUUGUCUAGCUUACACUGGUAAGCAAUUCAUAGCACCAAAAAUUAAGAACUGAAGAAAUGCAAUGCCAAUUGUCAUGGUGAAGCAGCGUCAAAUAAAAUGGAACUUGAACAGUGUGAGUUCAUGGGUGAAAAUGAGAGCAUGAAAUUUCACCACCAUUGUUUUCUCGUACUUCUCAGUUUGUUUUUAUUGGUCUCAACAAUCUGUCACUCAAAAGAACAGGCAUUCUAUUUUUGAUCACGAACAGUAGCAUUUGAAAACUAAGAAGGCCAGGCAGUCAAUCCAUCCUUUCAUGAAAAAUAAUCGCUCGCGUCUUGGAGACCAUGUUUGCGUCUAAUGCUUGCCUGCGAAAUUUAUGAAUGAAUUAAGUGCAUGGUUUUUUCAUGGACUCAUUCCACGUCUUGUAGGCCCUUUGUUUCAUAAAUAGAGUAGGCUAGUUACAUGUCCCGCGCGAUGCCGCGGGUCAAUUAUUUUUUAUAUUUUUUAAAAAACUAAAAUUUGAAAGUGUUAGGUCUUUUUACAAAAUUAUACCCAAAAGUCUUAGGUUUGGUUGCAACGCCUAAACCAAGAGUAAUAUCUAUAAUAUUAAUAAUAACAUUAAACUUGCAUGACCCAAAUUUAAGUAGGUUUGGCUACAAUACCAGACCUAAUAGCAUUGGACGUGGGUCUAGUUGCAAGGGUGUGUCAUAAAAAUGUGAUAAUUAAAUAGAUUAAUUAAAAAGAAAAAGACAGAAAAAAAAACCAACAGAAAGAAAAAAACUAAUGAAGAAAAAGAAAAAAAAUAUAUGCAUUAACUAGGUUAACCCUUCAAACCAGGUUAACCCGUCAAACCUUAGAUUCACGUCGUAAAAGUUUGAUAACUAAAUAGGAAAAAACAAAUUAAUGGGUUAACCCAGAAUUAACCGGGCUAACUCGUCAAAUCAGGUUAACCCGUCAAACCCGGAAUCCGUGUCAUGAAAGUUUAAUAACUAAAUAGAAAAAAAAAUUUAACAUUAACAAUUUAAAUUAAACAAAAAAAUUAAUUAAAAAGAAAAAAAAACAAAAAAAAACUAAAGGCAUCAGCCUUUUAACCGUGGACUGCACUGUGCAAUCCAUAGUCAAAUGCAUAAAAAAAAAAAAAAAAAAAAAAAAAACUAAAGACAUCAGCCGAGAACUAUAUAGAAAAAAAUUUAAUAUUAAUAAACUAAAUUAAUUAAAAAGAAGAAAACCUCUAAGAAGUAAAAAAAAUACUAAAUAGAAAAAAAUUUAACAUUAACAAAUUAAACUAAACGAAAAAAAAAUUAAAAAGAUAAAAAAAGCAAAAAAAACAAUUUAAGGUUAACUCGGCAAACCAGGUUAACCAGUUAAAUCUGGGAUUCGUGUCAUGAAUAUUUGAUAACUAAAUAAAAAAAAAGUGAACGUUAACAAACUGAACUAAACAAAAAAAAUUAAUUAAAAUGAAAAAAAAAUUUGGGUUAACUCGUCAAACCAUGUUAACCCGUUAAACUCAGGAUCUGUGUCAUGAAAGUCUGAUAACUAAAUAAAAAAAUUAACAUUAACAAACUAAAUUAAACAAAAAAAAUAUAUGAAAAAAAAAAAACAAAAUUGACGGGUCAACCUAGAAUUAACUGAGUUCACCCGUGAAACCAGGUUAACCCGUGAAACUCGAGAUAUAUGUUAUGAAAGUCAGAUAACUAAAUAUAAAGAAAUUUAAUAUUAACAAACUAAACUAAACAAAAAAAAAGCAAAAAAAUAAUUUCUAAGUUAACUUGUCAAACCAGGUUAAUGUGUUAAACUCAGAAAACAUUUCAUGAAAGUUUGAUAACUAAAUAAAAAAAAUUUAACAUUAAUAAACUAAAUUAAACAAAAAAAAAGAAUUUGUUAAAAGAAAAAAAAAAGAAAGAAAAAAAAAAAUAAUCCCGAAAUGCAUUAAAAAAAACAACUAAAAAAAUAAGACAACUUAAAAAAAAAACUAGUAUAUGUUACAAUAAUCCGGUUGCUUCCAAGAGCAUGCAAUGGGCAAACUUUCCUUGAAGUAGUUUGAGUCAACAUCGUCACUAUUCGCCCCCGCGCGCGCGCGCACCCAACUGAACUUGCACGUCAAUGUAGACUAAUAAUCAGCUUGUCCUAGCCUACAAGUCGAGUCCAACCUAACCAAUCUACUGUUAUUGUAAAAAAAUAAAAUUCAUAAGAAUUUAUAAUACAAAUAAUAAUAUGUUUUCAAUAUUAAUAAUAAUAUUUUCUUUCAAAUUUAUUAAUUUUUUUUAUUAAUAAUAUUAAUUAUAAUAAAAAUAAUAAUAUUUAUAAUACAAAUAAUUAUAUUUAGAAUCCUAGGACUGAGCGCCAAGUAGCUAUAGCCUGAAGGGGUGGCCAGUGGAUGUUGCAUGCCCAGCGCCCAAGGUAGCCAAGCGCUAGGUGUCCGCAACCUCAGUAGGCACGCCUCUAGCCUGAUGCUUGCAGCUUGAUAGUCGCAGCCUCACACAUGUUCCUGUUAAACAGUGCUGUACAUAAUAAAAAUUUAUAGUACUCCGUGCUACAGUAUGUAACAUUAUAAUCUAUAAUGAAUUCACUUACUUUGCACAAUAGCCUGCACUAUGGUAAAAUACUGAUAAGUAUUAGUAAGAGGAUAGCUUUUCCUGGAAUAAUAAUUGAAUGCUGAAGUUGAUUCGGCUUUUUCCGGGGAAAAGAAAAAAGAUAAUUCCUUCUGUAUUUUGGAAUGCUAGAUAUAGGUAUGGUGCUCGUAUUGUUUUCUUCACUUGAGUUUACUGCCCCACAUAAUUCCUGCUUCUUCAUUUUAUUUUCCCCGAAGAAGUUUAUAUAUGGGCAUGGUGCUCAUCAAAUGCAAUAAUAGAUUUUGGAAAUUUAAACUAAAGUAUUUUCUGACAUUACGAGAGGGCUACGGUGCUUGUGCUGGAGUUUACUGCCCCACCUAUCAAAUUGCAAAGAAAAGUCACUAAAAAAGAGCAUCAUCAAUAUUACAAGAAAGAUGGUCCUUCCAUAAUCAUCGAGUUAAUGGACCACAUACCGACACUGACAUUAAUUGUGUUUUCUUAUGGAAUCACACUAUUGCCGCUCCCAACACGGCAAAGUGACUAAGGUGGUGAUUUUUGUUGUGGUAGCUGGAGGUGGAGGAGGAGUGAGGGAGGUUGGUGUGAUGGAUAUGGAGUUACCAGUACACUACUAGUUGUGCUCUCAUCUAAGCAGCUUCGAUCCAUUUCUUUUUUUUCUUUUCAAAUAAAAAUGCAAUUGAUACUGUAAAAUUAGAGAGGUUUUUUUUUUUUUAAAGCAAAAAAAAUACUAUUUAGCCGGAACGGAACCGGAAUGCUCUAGCCAAAAUUUAAUCGAAAUAUUUUGUCUGAGAUUUUCAAAAUAGAUCGAGAUUCGGAUUAGAUGAAAUUUAUUUUGGUUUAUUUUGUUUUUUAAAGUGGAACAAAAAUACCAUUCAUUCCGAAGAGAACAUAAUAGAAUUAACAAUCUUAAUAUAAUUAUUUUGAGAUAUCUAAAACAUUAUUUCAAUCAAAUCAACGAAUCCAUCCCUUUAAAAAUAUAAAACUUGGCAAAUUUAGAAGCCAUAGAUCUCUAUUCAAAUAAUAUCAGUGGUUCCAUUCAUUCCAGAGUAGGCAAUUUAUCCAAUUUGAGAUAUAUUAACCUUUUUUCCGAUCAAAUCAACAGAUCCAUCUUUUAUGAAAGAGUGAACAUGGAAAAUUUGAAAACAUUAGAUCUCAGUUCAAAUAAUCCGGUUGCUUCCAAGAGCAUGCAAUGGGCAAACUUUCCUUGAAGUUGUUUGAGUCAAGAUCGUCACUAUUCGCCCCCGCGCGCACGCGCACCCGACUGACCUUGCACGUCAAUGUAGACUAAUAAUCAGCUUGUCCUAGCUUACAAGUUGAGUCCAACCUAACCAAUCUACUGUUAUUGUAAAAAAAAAAAAAAAAAAAAAGCAAUCCAAUUCCCAAUUCAAUAUAUACAGAAUCUAUAAAAAUUAAAAAUAUUACAUUGCAGCUACGAUUAUCUCUGGAAAAAAGUUUAAGAAAAAAAAGUAUACUUGCAUUAUUUACAAAUUAAAAUUUAAAAGCUGUUUGAAAACAUAGUUGAAAUUAUGUUUUUUUAAAAAUAAUUUUUUAUUUAAUUAUUUUUCUAAUAAAAAAUUUGAAUGUGGUGAAAAUAUAAAAAUUAACUUUUUUAUAUUAUUAAAUUGUUUUGAUGUGAUGAUGUGAAAAAUAAUUUUUUAAUAAUAAAAUUUUAUUAUUUUAAUAUAUUUUCAAACAAAAAAUAUUUUAAAAAAUAAUUAUUAACAUAAUCACAAAUAUGAAAUUUUCUUGCUUACUUUCGAAUCCAAAAUCUUGACCUUCAAUGAAAAUCAUGUCUCAAAAUUUUUUAUCAUGGUUCCUUGCUGAAAAUGCACAGGAUAUCAACAAACCUUCAAUGCACAUAAAUGUAGGAGAGAUAAUGUUUUCACUAUUUCAACUUAAAUCUACAAGACAUGGGCAGUACGAUGAUCAGAAUACGACUAUGUAUUAGCAUUAUUUUUCUACUCGGUCUCUUUCCACGAAAAUCAGGGAGAAUAGAAUAGAAUUAACUGCUGGCCUUCUUAAUUCCCAAAAUCCACUAUUGGUGAUUUGUAAGCCUUUUUCUUAAUCACAACGCGUGAAAGACCAGACGAUCUUGACUUGGAACGAGUCCAUGGGAAUUGAUGCCAUGCACUUUAUUAAUAAAUUUAGCAUUAUCAUUGAAGUGAAGCAUUAGACACAAACAUGGCGUCCAUUGUUUAUGAGCCAAAACUUCUUGCAAUUUUAAGCAUCUCAUUUUUCUUGUCCUGUAUUUUUGUAUCUGUGGCUGCACGUGAUGACUCGGCCUUGCUAGCAUCAGAAGGCAAGGCUUUGCUUGAGAGUGGAUGGUGGAGUGACUACAGCAACCUCACCUCACAUCGUUGCAACUGGACUGGCAUACUCUGUGAUCGGGCUGGAAGCAUCACUGAGAUUUCCCCACCUUAUCUAGUGGGAAAUAAGUUUGGAAAGAUGAACUUUUCUUGCUUCUCAAACCUUGCCCGUCUCGACCUGGCCAACCAUGAGCUCAGUGGGAGCAUCCCGCCUCAAAUUUCUAUCCUUCCUCAACUCAGAUACCUCAACCUGUCCUCAAAUAAUCUAGCAGGUGAGUUACCGUCUUCACUUGGAAAUCUCAGCCGAUUGGUUGAGCUUGAUUUUUCUUCCAAUUAUCUCAACUAUUCCAUCCCUCCAGAACUAGGCAAUCUUAAAAAUCUUGUUACUUUGAACUUGUCUUAUAACAGCUUCAGCGGCCCAAACCCUUCGGCACUUUGUCAUUUGGACAAUCUAACGCAUUUAUUUAUGGAUCAUAAUAGUCUCGAAAGUGCCCUCCCUAGAGAAAUAGGGAACAUGAGAAAUCUAGAGAGUUUGGACGUGAGUUAUAAUACACUUAAUGGUCCAAUCCCUCGAACAUUGGGUAGGUUAGCCAAGUUGAGGUCUUUGAUCAUUCGUUAUGCCAAAAUCAGUGGAUCCAUUCCUUUGGAAAUAGGAAAUUUGACCAACCUUGAAGAGUUAGACCUCUCUCACAACCAAAUCAACGGAUCCAUCCCUUUGGAAAUACAAAACUUGACAAAUUUCUUUUUAUCCAAUUUGAUUCUUCUAGAUCUUUCAUACAACCAAAUCACCGGUUUGAUUCCUUUUUCAUUAGGCAAUUUAACAAACUUGGCAAGGCUAGACCUCUCUCACAACCAAAUCAACGGAUCCAUCAUUGUAGAAAUACAGAACUUGACAAAUUUGGAGGAAUUAUAUUUGAAUUCAAACAAUAUCAGUGGUUCAAUUCCUUCAACUUUGAGCCUUUUAUCUAAUUUGAUUCUUCUAGAUCUUUCCUACAACCAAAUCACCGGUUUGAUUCCUUUUUCAUUAGGCAAUUUAACAAACUUGGCAAGGCUAAACCUCUCUCACAACCAAAUCAACGGAUCCAUCCUUGUAGAAAUACAGAACUUGACAAAUUUAGAGGAAUUAUAUUUGAAUUCAAACAAUAUCAGUGGUUCGAUUCCUUCAACUUUGAGCCUUUUAUCCAAUUUGAUUUUUCUAGAUCUUUCCUCCAACCAAAUCACCGGUUUGAUUCCUUUUUCAUUAGGCAAUUUAACAAACUUGGCAAGGCUAAACCUCUCUCACAACCAAAUCAACGGAUCCAUCCUUGUAGAAAUACAGAACUUGACAAAUUUGGAGGAAUUAUAUUUGAAUUCAAACAAUAUCAGUGGUUCGAUUCCUUCAACUUUGAGCCUUUUAUCCAAUUUGAUUUUUCUAGAUCUUUCCUACAACCAAAUCACCGGUUUGAUUCCUUUUUCAUUAGGCAAUUUAACAAACUUGACAACUCUAUACUUCUCUCACAACCAAAUCAACGGAUCCAUCCCUUCAUCUUUGAAGUAUUGUAAUAAUUUGUUCUCCCUAGAUUUAAGCUUCAAUAAUUUAAGUGAAGAGAUACCCUCCGAACUAUAUGGUUUGACCUAUUUAAAAUAUGUGAAUUUUCGUUACAAUAACCUCUCAGGCUCUGUUUCCUUCCAUUGGCUACAACUCUUUCAUGUGUAUUUCACCUGUGAUUCUCUUCAUAGCCAAAGAACCAACAAUCCUGAAAUUUUUCAAGAUACUGCAUUUGAGGGCAAUAAAGAUUUACACCCUGAUUUCUCACGUUGUCUAUCUAUUUACUCCCCACCUUCACAAACCUACUUGUUACCUUCAAAAGACAACAUAAGGAUUCAUUCCAUCAAGAUAUUUCUUCCUAUCACCACCAUUUCACUUUGUCUCUUGUGCCUCGGAUGUUGUUAUCUGUCUCGACGCAAGGCUACCCAACCCGAGCCAGCAUCAUCAAAGAAUGGAGACUUGUUUUCCAUAUGGAAUUAUGAUGGGACGAUUGCAUACGAAGACAUCAUUGCAGCGACCAAGAACUUUGACCUCAGAUACUGUAUCGGAACCGGUGGUUAUGGGAGCGUCUACCGAGCACAACUUCCAAGUGGGAAAUUAGUUGCCUUGAAGAAACUUCAUCGUCGAGAGGCAGAGGAGCCGGCUUUUGACAAGAGUUUCAAAAAUGAGGUGGAAGUGCUCACACAAAUACGUCACAGGAGCAUUGUAAAGCUUUAUGGAUUUUGUUUGCACCAGCGCUGCAUGUUUCUUGUUUACGAGUACAUGGAAAAGGGAAGCUUGUUUUGUGCCUUGAGAAAUGAUGUUGGAGCUGUGGAAUUGAAAUGGAUGAAAAGAGCAGGCAUCAUCAAAGACAUUGCUCACGCAUUAUCUUACUUGCAUCAUGACUGCAACCCGCCAAUUGUUCAUCGAGACAUAUCAAGCAGCAAUGUUCUGUUGAAUUCAGAAUCCAAGUCUUUUGUUGCUGAUUUUGGCGUGGCUAGACUUCUCGAUCCUGAUUCGUCCAACCAUACUGUACUUGCUGGUACCUAUGGAUACAUUGCCCCAGGUAAAAAUAUUUCUUCUUAACAUGCAUAUUUACCACUCAUGCACUGUAAAACUAAAGCAAACUCUCUUUUAAAUAUAUAUAUUAAUUUCGUUUUGUAUAUGGACAGAGUUUGCUUAUACUAUGGUGGUGACAGAGAAAUGUGAUGUGUACAGCUUCGGAGUUGUGGCGCUUGAAACUUUGAUGGGUAGGCAUCCGGGAGAUGUCCUAUCAUCAUCUGCUCAGGCUAUUACAUUGAAAGAAGUGUUAGAUCCUCGUUUGCCACCUCCAACAAAUGAGAUUGUCAUACAGAAUAUAUGUACCAUUGCAAGUCUCAUAUUUUCUUGCUUACAUUUAAAUCCAAAAUAUCGACCUUCAAUGAAAUUCGUGUCUCAAGAAUUUCUAUCUCCCAAGAGAUUAUUGGGAGGUCUCGAGAUUUCUUUGUUGGAGCUGCGAAAUCUUGGCUGGCACACAAAUGUAGGUGAGAUCACACUUCCUCGCUGAAAAAGUCAACUUCGAUCUUGCAUGGAACUUCAACGAGAGCCUCCAAGAGCAUGCCUUUAUAGUAUUAACUAUAGCUUUAAAGGUGUUGGAAAAUAAACUGAUCAUCUCUUUUUUCAACAUGGGAGGAUUAACUUGUGCAGCUACCUCACUCCAUCUUCG
rnacentral:lncRNA from 1 species